GGGGAUACGCUUAGAGUCCCCAAGAUAUGGUGUGUUAAUAGCAUGCCCUGUGGCCGGGGAUAUGUGGUUAGUGAAUC
rnacentral:ncRNA from 1 species